rnacentral:lncRNA from 1 species
AGGAGUUUCUUUCCACAGUGGAAGGGAGAAUAAUGAGAAGAAGGAUGCAGAAGAGAGGGGAAAGUUGAAAGUAGCUGAUAUGGGACCACAGAAUAUUGGCCAAUCAAUUGUAAUGACUAUACUUAUACCUAAACAAGUAAUAAAUAAAUGCAUUUGGCUUCCUUACCUUGAGUAUUGAAUCAACAUUUGAAAACAAAGUAAUCAACCUUUGGCAAUUUGUCCUUCAGAGAGAGAAAAACUCCCUUAGAAACCCAUAUUAAAAGAAACGUGCACAUGUAUCCCAGAACUUAAAGUAAAAUAAAAAAUAAAAGAAAAGAAAAGAAACAUGGGGAAAAAGGAGCAAGAGGAAGUUGAGAAGAAAAUUCAAGAAGGUGGUGCUACAAGGGCUUCUCAAUUUUGUACUUUUUCCUUUCAACAUUUUCUCUCCUGGACCCAAGAAACAUCAAAGGACUUUGUAUUCUCCAGUGAAUGAAGGAUAAAAAUUAGACAUGGAGACACUUGGUUUGGCAGAGCAGGUGACAAGCCUGAAGACCGUGAGUUAAGAUCAUAGAGCCACAGACCAGAAGCAGCCUGCAUCCCUGAAUCCCAGUACGGAAUAAAGUGUCACCUGAACUGCUUCAGACUUUGUGGGAAUGAGAAACAAACCUUCCUUUUACAUGGAAUCAUAGCAAUUGAUCUUUGGAACCCUGGUGAUCUCUGCGGUUGGCGUUAUAACUGUUUGAAGGCUUCCACCAUGUGGGGUGGCUGAGAACUGUUGUCCUGCAGCUGAGCCAGCACAGUUACACACUUUUGGUCCUUCCAUCUGAGCUGCUACACAGAGAGCAGGUUUUGGAGCAGGUUCUUACAACAUGAAGCCAUCAUGACUGAAGCUUGAUGCUCCAAACACAGACACAUUCUCACUUCCACAAAUGUUUAAGUAAAAAGAGAAUGUGCUGAAGGAGGAAAUUAUUGUCUUUUUGUUUCCUUCCUUUCAUUUUCUUUUCUUGAAAAAACACACCUCGUAUGGUGUUUUGACUUACAGAAAAUGAAAAACAAAGAUUAAUUCUGAAACUGCUAAUUGUGUAAAAAGCACGGAUUUUCAAAGAAACUAAAUGUUCUUUUAUUAGCAUGGAAAAACUUUUGAAGAGAAAGUAUCAACCAUUUUCCUUCGAAUAUUUUCCCCUAAUAAAACAGAUAUUUGGACAAGAUUCAUCAAAAUAUGUCUUUCCACCCCCAAAAUAUGUGUAUCUAUUAUGUAUCAAUUAAAAGUAAAAGUAAAAAAUAUAACUGUCAAAAAUCCCGCCAUAUCAUGCUGAUUUUUCAAUUUUCUAUAAGAUCAUAUUUUAAAUUAGUAUAAUUUCUAAUGUAGAAACACUUCCUUAUAAAACAGCAGAUUUUUAUUUUAGCUAAAAACAUUGAUUUCAGAUCAUGAUUAUCUGAACUGAUAGAGUUAACAGUAAAGAAGUAAUAUUUGCAUUUCUCAUAGGCCAAGGAAAAUAGAAUACAGUUGUAAAACUCUAUGGAUUAAAAACAUUUGCCCAUGGUUAACUAUUGCUAGAAAUCACAGUAUAAAACCUCAUCUCUGGCUUUUCCAGUGCUUCAUCACCAUAAGUCCUGAAUGUGGCAACCCAACCAUAAAAAAAUAAGAAGGUUCCUACCCCAAAAUAUUAUUCCUAACAAAUCUUUGAUUGGGGAUUAUCAAUUUAGACAGAGCGCAUGUUGGGUGGACAUCCAGCAUCUACUUAAAGGCACAUCGUAUCGCUCAAUAUUUUGGUGUGCACUUUCGACGUAACAAUUGGCAUUGAGGAGGUUUGUGCUCUGAAAGCAUUUCUCAUUACCCCACUCUACAGGGGUGAGAGAAGAAUGCGUGUGCCCAGUUGGCUUCUGAAACAAUAACCCCAAAUACAGCAUAGCUAUAGUUGAUAUCUUUGGGGAGUAACUAGCAUUAUUUUAUGAAAAUUAUUUAAUGUAUACCUGUAUAUUGACCUUUGUAAAAAGGAGAAAACAAUAUGGAGUCUGCAAGGGGAGGUUAUUUUUUAAUGCUACAGGAGUGAGAGAAGUUGGUCAAUUACCACUUACCGAAAAAUGAAAGAAUAACCUAUGGGUAGCAGCAUCGUGAUGAAGAGAAUAAAUCAAAAUGCUCUUAUUUAUUGGGGAGUUAUAACUAUCAGAGGGAUUGUGGAACAAAACACUCCUCAUCUCUACAUCCACCAUUCAAAUGCUUCCUCUGCUGUGUUAGCCCAUUGGGAAAUCACAGUUCUCUAUAAGUUGCAUUUUCCUCCUUAGCCAAGUAAACUUAUUAUGUGAUUACAUUGCCAUUUAAUCCCCCGUAAUUGUAGCAAUAUGUACAGCGGGGUAAGUCAGCAAAAAUUCUCCUCUGUCCAGGGAGGUGAAAGCCUUGUGGAAUCUGGGCAUUCCAGUACUUUGGAAGAGUAAGCUUCCAUUGCUCAAGAUGGUGACAUCACUUCCACCAAUGGCUGAGACUGAGGAAAAUGUGUGUUUCUUUUCUUAAGAGAUGACAAGUUAAGUAAAUCAUCCUAGGAAAAUGCUGAGCAGGUUAUUUGAUAUAUGCUAACUAGAUGGAUGCUUUAGUGAAGAAGCAAAGGUGCACAAGCGAUCUUGAGACUGAGAAAUGUUGCUUCCAACAAGCUUGUCUCUCAGUGGUCAAAAUAUGUUUUCACUCCCUGCUCUCUUCAUCUCCUUUACUCUGGAAAACUGAUAGGUGAAUCACUUUUGUUCAGCUAUGAUUAUUUUUACACCUCAAAACACAGCCUACAGGCUCACUUUUAGGUCAUAAUUUCACACAGAGACAACUUGUUCAAAAGGUGAAAAAAAAUUUAAAAAGCUCUCAAAGUCCUAGUAAAUAUUAAGCAGCAGAUAAGUCAGGUUCAAGUGAAAGCAAAGGAAACAUUAACCAUUUCUUGCUAGAAACAUACUGUAUAUUAUUUAGCUGCAUCUAAUCAACUUCAUUUGGUUCCUUAUUUUCACUUCAAGGUUCCUCAGGGCAGUGUACACAAUACAGUGUCUCCACCUUUGCAAAUAGCUUGAAAUCCAAAAAUGCAUUUGUAAAUCAGUGUUCGAAUUCAGAAUGUGUUUACUGUCGAGGAAAAAAAUAUAUGUGGGGGUUAGAUUUCUAGGCUACCCUAAGGCAUAUGAUGUCAUUUUAAUGUAUUAACAACAGUGAACAUUUAUAUUUGCAAUGAAAAUUGCAAAAUUCAAUAUUCUUAAAAUACUAAUACUUGUACUUACAGAAAAGCAUUUUAACUGUUGCUUGUUUUUUCAAACUGAAAUGCUGAAAAUAAAAAUGAUUGUAAAAUACCA